rnacentral:rRNA from 1 species
CAGUCGCCACGGUAAUACGGAGGGUGCAAGCGUUAAUCGGAAUUACUGGGCGUAAAGGGUGCGUAGGUGGUGGUUUAAGUCCGUUGUGAAAGCCCUGGGCUCAACCUGGGAAUUGCAGUGGAUACUGGGUCACUAGAGUGUGGUAGAGGAUAGUGGAAUUUCCGGUGUAGCAGUGAAAUGCGUAGAGAUCGGAAGGAACAUCUGUGGCGAAGGCGACUAUCUGGGCCAACACUGACACUGAGGCACGAAACCGUGGGGAGCAAACAGGAUUAGAUACCCCCGUAGUCCCUGUCUCUUAUAC